rnacentral:miRNA from 12 species
AAUAAAUGCCUUGUCCUUGGGA